rnacentral:pre_miRNA from 1 species
UAUCUACUCCCUCCGAUCCUAAAUUGUUGUUGAAAUAUUACAUGUAUCUAGAUGCUUUUUAGGAAUAGAUACAUCCAUAUUUGGCCAAAUUUGAGACAAGAAUUUAGGAUCGGAGGGAGUACGCU